GUGAUAGCUGGUUCUCUGCGAAAUGCAUUGCAGUGCAGCGUCAAUGUUAGCUUAUGGUAGGUACAGCACUGAUUGACAUACGGUUUUACCGUUGACUAGGGGGGCGUAACAGCUCUAUCUAGGUCAGUUAACCUCGGAAUGACUAUAAGUGAUUAUUGGCAGUGAGUCCUAGGGUGAUAAGGUCUUAGGACGAGAGGGAAACAGCCCAAA
rnacentral:rRNA from 1 species